ACGAAAAGUACACGACACGUUUCGAAACGAGUACGGAUUUGAGAUUAAGUACACGAAUCCAAAACUGCGUGAAUAAGGAGGAGAGCUAAUAUGGCACUAAAGUUUGAAAUUGUGUGAAUAAGAGAAAUUAUGGUCGAAUAUUGAAUUCAACUAUGUUUGAAGCUUGAAUUUAAUGUCAUCGUGAAAUUGCAAUCCCAUCGUGAAACUAAGCCUUUGUGAGAUUGUGGUCGAGGUUGCGUUGACAGCGUGAUGAGAGAGAUAGGUGUGAAAAACAAAAGAGGGAGAUGGAGAGGAUGAAGGAAAGAGAGAAUUGAAAGCGGAAGAAGGGUCGUAUAUUUGAAAACGGGAAAUUGAAGAAGAACGAGGCGAGGUAAUAAUAAUAAACAGGUAUUAUAUAAUUGAAAGAGUAAAGUAAUUAUAGUAAAAUUGUAAAUAUAAGUUAAAAGUUAUAUAUAUUUGUAAAUUUCUCUAAAUCUUAUGGUCAGCGUCACAAAUUCCAUCUUUAAAAAUCAUAUUUAGACUGCGCUUCAACUUAUCAAAUAUCAAUUGUGCCUUCAUAACGCUAUUACAAAUCAUAUUUCGACUGCGCUUCAACUUAUCAAAUAUCAAUUGUGCUUUCAUAACGCUAUUACAGAACUCUAUAUGAGAUUGUCAUCUCAUAAGAUUCCUCAAAUAUCACAAAUAAAUCUAAGACCUGUUUAUCAGUUUUUUUAUGUUGAUAUAUUGUGUAGGAUAAGAUUCACAUCUAUUGUAAGGCCUCUAAUUAGACAAUAAAAUUUUAUGUGUCAUAUAUUAUUUUGGGGUUGUUUAUCCUGUGCCCUCAGGGCACAGGUUAAACUGUAAUAAUUAUACUCUUUUUCUACGACUACUCCUCCUCUCUCCUGCUUUUCCAAUAUUUCGUUAAUUAAUGUUUUGUAUAUUAUUGUGUUUUCUUCUUUAACUAUAUACUUUACUAUUUUUACAUAUUAUAUUUAAAAAAUAUUAUUUAUAAAUUAUAAACAAGUUUAAAUUUUAUUAAAUACAAAACAAGUUUUCAUUAAUUUUGUCCCACAAAUAAUAA
rnacentral:lncRNA from 1 species